UACGUAGGGGGCGAGCGUUGUCCGGAUUCAUUGGGCGUAAAGAGCUCGUAGGCGGUCCCGCAAGUCGGGUGUGAAAUCCCAAGGCUCAACCUUGGAACUGCAUCCGAUACUGCUGGACUUGAGGCAGGUAGGGGAAGGUGGAAUUCCCGGUGUAGCGGUGGAAUGCGCAGAUAUCGGGAGGAACACCGGUGGCGAAGGCGGCCGACUGGGCCGAGUCUGACGCUGAGGCGCGAAGGCGUGGGGAGCGAACGGG
rnacentral:rRNA from 1 species